rnacentral:lncRNA from 1 species
UAGAGAAAAUGACUAGGAUAGCACUAAAAAAGUUUUUGUCACAAAUAUAGUUUUUAAGAAUAAAAAUGAUCAAAAUAGCACUAAUUGUUUUAUCAAAAGAGAUAAAUAUACACUUAUACUCCAAUGGUAAAUUAAUUUAGACAUUAGAGUUUAGAGUUAAGGGGUGGGUUUAGGAUUUAGGGUUUAGGGUUUAGGGUUUAGAGUUAAGGGGUAGAGUUUAGGAUUUAGGGUUUAGGGUUUAGAGUUUAGGGUUUAGAGUUUAGAUUUUAGGAUUUAGAGUUGGGGAUAAGAUUUCAAAUUUUGAAAAAUAAAAAAAAAUUAAAUUUUUCAAAAGAUAAAAUGAUAUUUUGGUCAUUUUAGUUUUUGAAGGCUAUUUUUGUGACAUAAACUUAGAAAUGUGCUAUUUUGGAGAUUUGCCCUU